rnacentral:rRNA from 1 species
UCGCAAUGCCCGAAAGGGUGACGAAGCGACGCCGCGUGCGGGAAGAAGGCCUUCGGGUUGUAAACCGCUGUCGGGAGUUAAGAAAUGUAAGGAUGUUAAUAGCAUCUUUGCUUGACUAAGGCUCCGGAGGAAGCCACGGCUAACUCUGUGCCAGCAGCCGCGGUAAUACAGAGGCGGCAAGCGUUGUUCGGAAUUAUUGGGCGUAAAGAGCACGUAGGCGGCUAUGUAAGUCGGUUGUGAAAGCCUUCCGCUCAACGGGAGAACAGCAUCCGAUACUGCAUGGCUUGAGUGCGGGAGGGGAGAGUGGAACUUCUGGUGGAGCGGUGAAAUGCGUAGAUAUCAGAAGGAACGCCGGCGGCGAAAGCGGCUCUCUGGCCCAUAACUGACGCUGAGUGUGCGAAAGCUAGGGGAGCAAACGGGAUUAGAUACCCCGGUAGUCCUAGCCGUAAACGAUGGGCACUAAGUAGAGGGGUUUU